rnacentral:rRNA from 1 species
CCUACGGGAGACAGCAGUGGGGAAUAUUGCACAAUGGGGGAAACCCUGAUGCAGCGACGCCGCGUGAGUGAAGAAGUAAUUCGGUAUGUAAAGCUCUAUCAGCAGGGAAGAAAAUGACGGUACCUGAGUAAGAAGCCCCGGCGAACUACGUGCCAGCAGCCGCGGUAAUACGUAGGGGGCAAGCGUUAUCCGGAUUUACUGGGUGUAAAGGGAGCGUAGACGGCGGUGCAAGUCUGGAGUGAAAGGCGGGGGCUCAACCCCCGGACUGCUCUGGAAACUGUACGGCUGGAGUGCAGGAGAGGUAAGUGGAAUUCCUAGUGUAGCGGUGAAAUGCGUAGAUAUUAGGAGGAACACCAGUGGCGAAGGCGGCUUACUGGACUGUAACUGACGUUGAGGCUCGAAAGCGUGGGGAGCAAACAGGAUUAGAUACCCCUGUAGUC